rnacentral:rRNA from 1 species
UACGUAGGGUCCGAGCGUUGUCCGGAAUUAUUGGGCGUAAAGGGCUCGUAGGCGGUUUGUCGCGUCGGGAGUGAAAACCUACAGCUUAACUGUGGGCUUGCUUUCGAUACGGGCAGACUUGAGGCAUGCAGGGGAGAACGGAAUUCCUGGUGUAGCGGUGGAAUGCGCAGAUAUCAGGAGGAACACCAAUAGCGAAGGCAGCUCGCUGGGACGUUACUGACACUGAGGCGCGAAAGCGUGGGGAGCGAACAGG